rnacentral:rRNA from 1 species
AGUGGCGCACGGGUGCGUAACACGUAUGCAACCUACCUUACAUUGGGGGAUAGCCUUUCGAAAGGGAGAUUAAUACCGCAUAAGACAGUAGCUGGGCAUCCAGCAGCUGUUAAAGAUUUAUCGAUGUAAGAUGGGCAUGCGACCAAUUAGUUAGUUGGCGAGGUAAUGGCUCACCAAGACUAUGAUUGGUAGGGGAACUGAGAGGUCAAUCCCCCACACUGGCACUGAGAUACGGGCCAGACUCCUACGGGAGGCAGCAGUAGGGAAUAUUGGGCAAUGGACGCAAGUCUGACCCAGCCAUGCCGCGUGCAGGAUGAAGGCGUUAUGCGUCGUAAACUGCUUUUAUACAGGAAGAAACGACUCUUGCGGGAGGCAUUGACGGUACUGUAUGAAUAAGCACCGGCUAACUCCGUGCCAGCAGCCACGGUAAUACGGAGGGUGCAAGCGUUGUCCGGAUUUAUUGGGUUUAAAGGGUGCGCAGGUGGUUUAUUAAGUCAGUGGUGAAAGACGGUCGCUCAACGAUUGCAGUGCCAUUGAAACUAGUAGACUUGAGUAAAGUAGAGGUGGGCGGAAUUGAUAGUGUAGCGGUGAAAUGCAUAGAUAUUAUCAAGAACUCCAAUUGCGUAGGCAGCUCACUUGGCUUUUACUGACACUCAUGCACGAAAGUGUGGGUAUCAAACAGGAUUAGAUACCCUGGUAGUCCACACUGUAAACGAUG